UACGUAGGGGGCUAGCGUUGUCCGGAUUUAUUGGGCGUAAAGAGCGUGUAGGCGGCCAUGUAGGUCCGGUGUGAAAACUCGAGGCUUAACCUCGAGAUGUCAUCGGAAACCAUUUGGCUAGAGUCCGGAAGAGGAGAGUGGAAUUCCUGGUGUAGCGGUGAAAUGCGCAGAUAUCAGGAAGAACACCAAUGGCGAAAGCGGCUCUCUGGAACGGUACUGACGCUGAGACGCGAAAGCGUGGGGAGCGAACAGG
rnacentral:rRNA from 1 species